rnacentral:RNase_P_RNA from 1 species
AAAGCUGACUAGACAGUCGCUCUAGCGUAACUCCUGCUUGUUACAGAAGAGCUAUGCUAGAGAGGAAAGUCCGGGCUCCAUAGGGUAUGGAUGCCAGGUAACACCUGGGGGGCGCAAGCCUACGACAAGUGCAACAGAAAAAAAACCGCCAAUAACCUAUAUGAUAGCAUGUAUAGAUGAUGCUUCGUCUACUAGCAGGUGAGGUAAGGGUGAAAUGGUGCGGUAAGAGCGCACCACACGACUGGUAACAGUAUGUGGUACGGUAAACUCCAUCCGGAGCAAGGCCAAAUAGGAGCUCAUUAAGUAUGGCCCGUACAGAGCUCGGGUAGGCUGCUUGAGCCAGUAAGUGAUUACUGGCCUAGAUGAAUGACUGUCCACGACAGAACCCGGCUUAUCAGUCAGCUUUAAUA